CGAGCGAAGGGGACGGGACCCGGUACGGCGAAAUACCCCAAAAAGCCGUCUCAGUUCGGAUUGCACUCUGCAACUCGAGUGCAUGAAGGUGGAAUCGCUAGUAAUCGCGUAACAGCAUGACGCGGUGGAUACGUUCCCGGGCCUU
rnacentral:rRNA from 1 species